AAAUGGAACAGCUAGUUUAACCAGCCUACUUUUGACCUAGACAUGACACACCUCUUAGCUAAACCUCAAACAAAAACUCAAAUAUUAUGUGUUGCUAGAACUUCAAAUCUAAACAAUUUUACUCAUCUGAAUGAGGUUUUAAAACCCAUACCAAGUCCUGCAGGUUUUUGAAAUGACUACACCAGAAUCGGAAUAGGUCAUAAACAACCUGAUAUUUGAGCUGAUUUCACCUGAGGCCACUGAGCCACCAGACUCAAGUGUCCUUCCAUUCGAUCAGAGACAGAUAAUUAGGCGAGCUGGGCUGCUUCUCUCUCGCCCACUGCUGAAUUCUUUCUCUCCUCAAGAAACUUUCUCCUGGUUGCUUUGGGGCCUCUAGGACAAGGAGUGUCAAGACCCCUCCCAUCUCAUCCUGUCGUUUUCCUCUCACGGCUCCGCUGCCCACCGGCCCUCACUGCCAAGCCCCUUCUGUCACCAGCUCAUAUCUCUGAAAACACAACACUCCCUCUACGUCCAAAUUCAGGCUUUAGGAACUGGUGGAAGUGGGGGAUUCCGAAAGGCCCGGGAGGGGGCUUGGCUGCCUGGAGAAGGGGCCCAGGGAAACUUGGAAGCAAGGCCGGAAUGAGUCAAUCAGUCAGCAAGUAUUUAUUUAGUGCUAGGCAGCUUGGGGGAUACAGAGAAAUUAUAAGACGCCAUCCGGUCCCUGGCUGGAUUUCUGGCCGAGUUCCCCGCAUAAGAACCCGGCCCCGAGCUGGGGACUGCCCAGCCCAUGGAAGGCUGCCACGGCCCCAAGACUGGCUACCCGGCCGAGCAGCCGCGGGGGCGGCUAAGAGAAGGAGCUGGGAACCACCGGCCGAGUCCCUGUCCCAGCAAUGCCGCACGCCACCAGCAAGUCAUGUCAUCGCUCUGGACUUCUGCUUCCUCACGUGUAAAAUGGGAAUAAUACCAGCACUGGCCCAGUCCACGUGUGGCAAGGUAGUGACAAGUUGGUGCAUGGACAGUGUCAGCCCAGGGCCGGGCACGUAGUACGCUCAACAAAUGUGAGGUCUUAUUAGGAGGCGGUGGUUGCAUUAGACAGUAAAAGGAGGUGUGUUCUGGAAGCACUUUCUACCCUGCCUCACCUCCUCAUGACCACCUUUUCCUCCAGUCUUUGCUGUGGCAGCUGCCUAACCCAGGUGAACCUGAGAUAGCUUCUCUCACACUCUGCCCUGGGCCUCCUCUGACAAGGUGGGGACAGUAGGGGACCUCCUGCAAGCUCCUUUUGUGGUCCUGGGAGUGGGAGAGAGUUAACACCCGUGGGGACCCUUGGCCAGCAGGGGAAGGAGCUGCUGGAGAAAGACUCCCCCCUCCUUUCCUUCAGGUGUACAAUUCUGAGCUGUGUUCCACAUGGCUCCUCCAAAGGUCUGGCUAGAUGGGAUCAAGCCCCACCAUAGAGGCUGGCUUGAACACACCCUCUAUUUGCUUUCCCUCUGCCCCUGUUGCACUCUCCCUACUCCUCACACCUGUUUCCUGGGACAACUCUCCAGAAUGAACUACCCUGUCUUAGACUCAGCUUUUUGUGGGGGAAUGUGGAGGGCAGUAGGGUACAAAGAAGUGGUAUAGGACAAUGGCCAAUAGUUGGGUCAGACUUGGGCUGGAACCCUGGCUCUCCCUGGCACUGGCUGGGUGACAGAAACCAAGUGUCUCUGAGCCUGUGUCUCACCAUCAGUAAAAGGGGGUACUGACCUUAUGCAGUUGUUUUGAAGAUUGGAGGAAAUAAUGCAUAGAAAGUGUUUAGCCUGUGCCUGGUGCAGAGAGCUGGGUCCUCCAGAAACAGAACCUGAGACCAGGAUUCAUGGGAAAGUGAGUUAUUGGGAGGCAAACCCAGAAAAAGCCAGAGGGAAGUGGAAAAGGGAGGGGAAGCUAAGCCGGGAUAUCAAGCAGUCACACCAAGGGUAAUUUUGGCUGAAUCCCCCCCAGGGACAAUGGAGACAAGGUGGACACAUCUCAGAGGGAGCCAGUAUCUCAGUGCAGUCAGGCAGAGGGACUCCAGAGGGCUGAGGGCAGCUGCCCACAAGGAGUCUCAGGUGCAGGCUGUUCGGAGUGAAUGCACACUAGGAGCUGUGUGCAAGAAAGUGAUAAAGGGUGGAAGUGAUAAUGGGAUCCAAGGAAGUAUGGUGGGCACUGACCACAUCAGCCACAGCCUACUCAUGGUGGGAUCGUUAGGGUUGUUAUACUUUUGUUUUCUAGAAAAGCCUUCCUCAGUAAUAGAAAAGCCAGGCUUUAGAGCAUGCGAAGCACCAGUUUCCCCAACUCCCUCGAGCCUUUCCUUCCUGG
ensembl:lncRNA